GCGAAUAGGUAGCUAAGACAUGUUUUUCCUGAAAUCUUGUCAAUGUCCCCUCACAAUGUCCUUCAAUGUCCCUCACACCAAACCUCAAGGAAAUAGCAACGUGUUUUAACGACCAUCCUCUUUGCCACCACUACCAAAUGAUGGCCCGUCAUUGAACUUCUUCUAAAUUGAUAUGUCUCUAAGUCAUCAGAA